UACGGGGGGGCAAGCGUUGUUCGGAAUUACUGGGCGUAAAGGCUCGUAGGCGGCCAACUAAGUCAGACGUGAAAUCCCUCGGCUUAACCGGGGAACUGCGUCUGAUACUGGAUGGCUAGAGGUUGGAGAGGGAUGCGGAAUUCCAGGUGUAGCGGUGAAAUGCGUAGAUAUCUGGAGGAACACCGGUGGCGAAGGCGCAUCCUGGACCAAUUCUGACGCUGAGGAGCGAAGCCAGGGAGCAAAGCGGG
rnacentral:rRNA from 1 species